rnacentral:lncRNA from 1 species
UUUUUUUUUUUUACUUUCUAGGGAGAACUGCAUAAAUUACAGCUUUAUUUUCCUCUUCUUGAGAAUUAUUUUUCACCCACCUGAAACUCCCACGAUGUAUGGAAUGCACAAGAAAGAUCGGAAGGAGCCACAAUAUUAAGUGACUGCAGUUCAUCUGCUCUGGUAGAAGCAAGGCCUG